rnacentral:rRNA from 1 species
AGUGAACGCUGGCGGUAGGCCUAACACAUGCAAGUCGAACGGCAGCACAGGAGAGCUUGCUCUCUGGGUGGCGAGUGGCGGACGGGUGAGGAAUACAUCGGAAUCUACUCUGUCGUGGGGGAUAACGUAGGGAAACUUACGCUAAUACCGCAUACGACCUACGGGUGAAAGCAGGGGACCUUCGGGCCUUGCGCGAUUGAGUGAGCCGAUGUCGGAUUAGCUAGUUGGCGGGGUAAAGGCCCACCAAGGCGACGAUCCGUAGCUGGUCUGAGAGGAUGAGCAGCCACACUGGAACUGAGACACGGUCCAGACUCCUACGGGAGGCAGCAGUGGGGAAUAUUGGACAAUGGGCGCAAGCCCGAUCCAGCCAUACCGCGUGGGUGAAGAAGGCCUUCGGGUUGUAAAGCCCUUUUGUUGGGAAAGAAAUCCAGCUGGCUAAUACCCGGUUGGGAUGACGGUACCCAAAGAAUAAGCACCGGCUAACUUCGUGCCAGCCGCCGCAGUAA